UCCGGGGCCCCUCCGGGCACGUCCCUCCCCGCCCCCAGCCCACCCCCUGCCCAGCACGGGUGCCCUCUUCGCCCUCGGCUGUCCCGGCCUCGGAGCCCACUCCUGUCCGUGCGCAGCCCGCGGGCGCCGCCGAGGCCAGGACGCGAAAACCGGGCGACUUCACGCGGCACGCACUGCGCCGGCGCGGGCGCUGCUCCUCCCAGCAGCCCUUUCUGCACGGGGCACCCUGGCUUCCGCCCCUACUUUACGCGACGCCGGGGUGGGGGUGGGGGGUAAACGGAGGCACACCGAGGGUGAGGCCCUGGCUCUAAGUCGCACGGCCGGGAAACGCCAGGCGCGAGACCGGAACCCACGCGUCUGGUCCCGCGCGGUGAGGUGCGUGGCUCAAACGGCUGUCAUUUCUGGAUCCUUCCCGAACACCCUCUCCCCUUCGCGGCAGGACGGGGUCCGUGAGCUCGCGGACCAUCCGGGGCUCUGCUGCCACCUAGUGGCCGCCAGGGGCAGCGUCGCACCCAGCGCGCCCGGGGCCGUCACGAAAGGCUUUGCAAGUGAAUUACCCGGGGAGCAGCGGCGCAGCGGGGUAAGCUGCCAUCUGAAGCGCCGGCAUCCCAUGUGGACGCGGGUUCGAGUCCCGGCUGCUCCACUUCCAGUCCAGCUCCCCGCUGAUGGGAAAGCCACGAAAGAUGGCCCAAAUCCUAGGUCCCCUGCACCCCCGUGGGAGGCCGGGAUGAAGCUCCUGGCUCCUGGCUUUGAUCUGGCCCAACCCCAGCUGUUGCGACCUUCUGAGGAGUGAACCAGCGGAUGAACGAUCUCUCCCUCCCUCCAUAACUCUGACAUUUAAAUAAAUAAGUAUUUUAAAAAUUAAAA